CCAGUCUGAGGGCAGCGUUCCCUCGGUGCUCAGCCUUGGUGACUCCACUCAUGGGCCCCAUUUACCAAGACUGCAGGAAGCCUGACGCCAUUUGGUUAUACCUCCCAAGAGAAGUAUGUGUGACAAGGACUCGGUGGCUGGCACACCUUGUGAAUAAGUCCAGCCUUAAGUUUUUUUCAACCUUAAAACGUAAUCAAUUUCACAACGUGGUACCAGUCUCCUUCAUCCCGAAAAGGCAUUACCUCUCCUGGUAGUCAGAGUUUGCAUCAAAUGCUGCUGAUUGUUACGGAUGGCGGGGCCCUUCCGGGGUCUCCUUGCGGCCUCUUCGUCUCUGGCCUUUGCUCGUGUGCAGCAUUUUCCAUACCAUCCCCAUCUGUGACUGUCUGCUUCCUGGCGCCUGGCCUCUCGUCCUGUGCUUUCACUUGUGCUUCCAACAAGACUUCAUGUAUUCUUCCAUUUGAAAUUCUAGAAGUCUGAUCUGGAUGUUGGACUCCUUGUUCUCAGACAUGAACCCAACAUGGCUGUAAUCUGCAGAGGACGGGGCUGGGAUUCAUGGCAAAGAGCCCUCUCGUAGAAUAUUAUAGAAACUCUUCACAGUCUGUGUUUAAUAGACCAGUUUGGUUUGGCAUCAGCUUGACAUAAACUUUUGGUUAUCCAAAGCCCUUAAUUGCUUUGAAGUAAAAGCCCAGUGCUGCUCCUUUUUAUUAAAAUUGUGUUUUUUCUUGUUAUUGUGGUCUAUUUUGGAGGACUGAGCUGUGAUUUUUGCAUAUGUUCUACAUAAUGCCUCAUUAGCAAAAAAUCUUGUAUCAUUUACAAGUAGCCUGAAUGUCUGUGUUGUUUUGAACAAAAGUCCAUAUUAAAAUUUAAACAAUAUAAAAA